AAAAAAAUCACUUGAAUGGCCAUCUGCCAUUUUCUACAAAAAUCAAAACAAAUCCCUAACCCCCAUUCUUUAUCCCUCAUUCGAAAGCCAGGCAUCCUUAGCCUACAAUUGGAAGAAUAAUGUUUUCCUUUUAUUCUCUUUUGGGCUCGGUUUCGGAGAUAGAGAAGGAGACUCCGGCGACGUGACCGUGAGGCGAUUCAGGUACUAUGCGACGCGUGGAAGAGGCGAUGUUCAGGGGUGUGGUGACCGAGGUGGCACGCGCGGUGGUUGGCAUGUGUGGGGUGAGCGGCGGCUGAAGAAAGAGGCUAGGGUUGCUGAAACAAUUUGGGUAGUUGGGCUAGGGUUAGUUUUAGGCCUAUUGGGUUUAUUUUGGGCUAAAAUCUGGGUAUUGGGUUUUAAUUAGGUUUUGUUUUAAUUUUGGGCCAUGUAUUGGACUAUUUUUUGUUUAUUUGGUUUGGGUUCUUUUUAGGCCAAAA